rnacentral:lncRNA from 1 species
AACUCUGAGUGAACUUCUGCAAUCUGGUUAGUGACUGAAUCUGAUACUCUGACUUGAUUCUUUUGGCAUAACAUUUUAAGCAGCUUCAAAUAACCUCUUGAUAUGUCCAGUACAGAGCAAAUAAUGCCAAAUUACAUGUAAUUUCCUGCAUGUCACAUAAGAACAGUCAGGAUAGUUUUCAUACAAUUUUCGAUAGUUUAACAUACAUGUAUCAACUCAGGUGAAUGUCACUCACCUGCUCACUUGUUCUCUGUUAUGUUGCUAAAUAUGCAGACUUCAGCGAAGAAAAAAGCACCUCAGUUCUGGUAGGGAAGGGUGGUGUCAACGUUAAUGCAGGUAAAGGAAAGCCUGGAGGAACCAAUGUGAAUGUUGGGAAGGGUGGUGUGAAUGUGCACGCUCCAAACAAAAAGCCAGGUGGUGGUACUAAUGUCAACGUUGGGAAGGGAGGCGUAAAUGUGCAAACUGGGAAGGGAAAGCCAGGGAGCGGUACCAAUGUCAACGUAGGGGGAAAAGGUGGUGUUGGAGUGCACACCGGAAAGCCCGGAAAGAGAACCAACGUUGGUGUUGGCAAAGGAGGAGUGCAUGUAAGCACACACCACAAGGGAAAACCUGUAUAUGUUGGAGU